rnacentral:rRNA from 1 species
UACAGAGGUGGCAAGCGUUGUUCGGAAUUACUGGGCGUAAAGGGCGCGUAGGCGGCCGAUCAAGUCAGGCGUGAAAUUCCCGGGCCCAACCUGGGGGCUGCGCUUGAUACUGAUUGGCUUGAAUGCGGGAGAGGAUAGUGGAAUUCCCAGUGUAGAGGUGAAAUUCGUAGAUAUUGGGAAGAACACCGGUGGCGAAGGCGGCUAUCUGGCCCGUAAUUGACGCUGAGGCGCGAAAGCGUGGGGAGCAAACAGG